UACAGAGGGUGCGAGCGUUGUCCGGAAUCACUGGGCGUAAAGGGCGCGUAGGCGGUCUGCUAAGCGUGUGGUGAAAGCUCGGGGCUCAACCCCGAGUCGGCCGUGCGAACUGGUGGACUGGAGCAUGCCAGAGGCAGGCGGAAUUCCGGGUGUAGCGGUGGAAUGCGUAGAGAUCCGGAAGAACACCGGUGGCGAAGGCGGCCUGCUGGGACAUUGCUGACGCUGAGGCGCGACAGCGUGGGGAGCAAACAGG
rnacentral:rRNA from 1 species